GACGAACGCUGGCGGCGUGCCUAAUACAUGCAAGUAGAACGCACAGUUUAUACCGUAGCUUGCUACACCAUAGACUGUGAGUUGCGAACGGGUUAGUUACGCGUAGGUAACCUUCCUGGUAGCUGGGGGUAACUAUUGGAAACGAUAGCUAAUACCGCAUACUAUUGAUUAUUGCAUGAUAAUUUACUGAAAGUUGCUAUUGCAUCACUACGGGAUGGACUUGCGGUGUAGUAGCUAGUAGGUGAGGUAGCGGCUCACCUAGGCGAUGAUAGGUAGCCGGCCUGAGAGGGUGACCGGCCACAUAGGGACUGAGAGACGGCCGAGACUCCUACGGGAGGCAGAAGUGGGGAAUAUUGCACGAUGGGCGGAAGCCUGAUGCAGCAACGCCGCGUGCGGGAUGACGGCCUUCGGGUUGUAAACCGCGUUCGCCUGUGACGAAGCGUGAGUGACGGUAAUGGGUAAAGAAGCACCGGCUAACUACGUG
rnacentral:rRNA from 1 species